ensembl:lncRNA
UUCGGGUUCAUUUUGGAGCUUUUCUUUGAAAAUUGCACUUCUGUACAAACGGCGCUUUUACCGAUUUUGGGGUUUUUUGCCUUUUUUUUGGGGGGGGGGGGGGGGUUCAAUUUUUGGGGUGGAAAAUAAAGAAAUUGGGACCCAACGCUGCUGUGGUUUUGUGGGGAGAUCCCAUAAUCCGGGAUUAUGGUCCUUAAUCCGGGAUUAGAGAGCCUUAAUCUGGGAUUACAGCCCAUAAUAUGGGAUUAGAGACCCUUAAUAUGGGAUUACAGCCCAUAAUAUGGGAUUAGAGACCCUUAAUCUGGGAUUAGAGACCAUAAUAUGGGAUUAGAGAGCCUUAAUCUGGGAUUAGAGACCAUAAUAUGGGAUUAGGGACCCUUAAUCUGGGAUUACAGCCCAUAAUAUGGGAUUAGGGACCCUUAAUCUGGGAUUGCAGCCCAUAAUAUGGGAUUAGAGACCCUUAAUCUGGGAUUGCAGCCCAUAAUAUGGGAUUAGAGAGCCUUAAUCUGGGAUUGCAGCCCAUAAUAUGGGAUUAGAGAGCCUUAAUCUGGGAUUACAGCCUAUAAUAUGGGAUUAGGAACUCUUAACCUGGGAUUACAGACCAUAAUACGGGAUUAGAGAGCCUUAAUCUGGGAUUACAAUCCAUAAUGUGGGAUUAGAGAGCCUUAAUAUGGGAUUAGGGACCCUUAAUCUGGGAUUGCAGUCCAUAAUAUGGGAUUAAAGGCCCUUAGUACGGGAUUAGAGAGCCUUUAUCUGGGAUUACAGUCUAUAAUGUGGGAUUAGAGAGCCUUAAUAUGGGAUUAGAGGCCCAUAAUAUGGGAUUAGAGUCCCGUAAUCCUAUAUUACAGACCUACUAUGUAAGGAAACCCCAUAAUCUGGCAUUGCAAUCCCCUAAUCCCACAUUGAAGACCAAUAAUAUGGGGAUACACCCCAUAAUACAAGACUACAGUGCCGUAAUUCCUAAUGGGAGUCCCAGAACCCGAGAUUAGAGGCCCAUAAUCUGGGGGAAACCCCAUAAUCUGGGAUUGCGAUCCCCUAAUCCCAUAUUAGAGACCCAUAAUAUGGGAUUAGACCUCCAUAAUCUGGGAUGGGAGUCCCAAAAGAUGGGAUUAGAGGCCUAUAGAUUCAGAUUAGAGGCCCAUAAUCUCAGAUUAGGGAUCCACACUCCGAGGGAUCCCCAUAAUCCGGGAUUCAGUCUCAUAAUCCGGACGUAGUGUUUUAUAAUCCAGAUUUAGUGUGCCAUAAUCCAGGGAAUGCCAUAAUCUGGGGCUGAACCCCGAAAUCCAGGGAUGAAAUGACCAUAAUCCCAUGGGGGGGUCCCCCUAAUCUGCAUUUGGAGUCACAGAAACCAGGAGGACCCCGUAAUCUGGGAAUGGUGCACCCAUAAUCUGGGAUUGGAGCCCCACAGUCCAAAGGGGGGGGCUCGUAAUCCAGGAGGAUCCCAUAAUCCAGCUUUGUAGUGUUCAUAAUCCAGAGUGAGGCCCAUAAUCCAGCUUUGUAGUGUUCAUAAUCCACAGUGAGGCCCCAUAAUCCAGGGGCCUCUUCAUAAUCUGGGCUUGGGCUGCCCAUAAUCCGGGUGCAAAUACCCAUAAUCCGGGGGGGGGGGGGAUGCCCUUUAUCGAGAAGAUGGAUGGAUAAUCCAGGAGUAUCCUCAUAAUCCGGGUUGAGAUGCCCAUAAUCUGGGUUGGGGUGUCCAUAAUCCAGGGUGUGACCCCAUAAUCCGGAUUGGGGUGCCCAUAAUCCGGGUUGAGAUGCCCAUAAUCCGGGUUGGAGUGCCCAUAAUCCAGGGUGUGACCCCAUAAUCCCGGUUGAGAUGCCCAUAAUCCGGGUUGGGGGGCCCAUAAUCCGGGUUGAGAUGCCCAUAAUCCGGGUUGGAGUGCUCAUAAUCCAGGGUGUGACCCCAUAAUCCGGAUUGGGGCGCCCAUAAUCCAGGGUGUGACCCCACAAUCCGGGAUGUGGGCCCAUAAUCCAGAGUGUGAUCCCAUAAUCCAGCUUGAAAUGCCCAUAAUCCAGGUUGGAGUGCCCAUAAUCUGAGCUGUGAGCCCAUAAUCCGCGUUGAGGUGCCCAUAAUCCAGAGCAGGGACCCCAUAAUCCAGGAUUAGCUCCCCAUAAUCUGGCUGGAGGCCCCCCUACGGGAGGUGCUCGGCCCUAUGAGAUGACGGAGAGGUAACGGGGAGGGGGGGGGGUCAUCAGUGUGACCCCAUCCCGGGAUUAGGAUAUGUGGGAUUAGGGGAUUAUGGGAUUAUGGGGGGACGGCACUCACUCGGGGGGGGCAUCACAGCGGCUGCCGGAGCGCUCCCGGCCUGGGGGGGGCGUCCCGUGGUAAUCUGGGGGGGGUGAACGGGUCGUAAUCCUAAUCUGAAUCCCAUCAUUCCACUUAAUCCCAUAAUCCCGCCUAAGCACCCGGACUCAAAUAUCCCCAUAAUUCAUCUUAAUCCCACACUUCCAGCCCCAUGUAGCCCUCUAAUCCCAUCUCCCCACAUCCUACAACCCCAUAGCCC